GGAUAUGUAGCUCAGUAGGUAGAGCAGGUGACUGAAGAUCACCGUGUCGGCAGUUCGAUUCUGUCCAUGUCCA
rnacentral:tRNA from 1 species